rnacentral:rRNA from 1 species
UACGUAGGGUGCGAGCGUUGUCCGGAAUUAUUGGGCGUAAAGAGCUACGUAGGCGGUCUGUCGCGUCGAUCGUGAAAACUUGGGGCUUAACCCUGAGCUUGCGGUCGAUACGGGCAUGACUGGAGUUCGGCAGGGGAGACUGGAAUUCCUGGUGUAGCGGUGAAAUGCGCAGAUAUCAGGAGGAACACCGGUGGCGAAGGCGGGUCUCUGGGCCGAUACUGACGCUGAGGAGCGAAAGCGUGGGGAGCGAACAGG